UCCGGCAGCCAUAUCACUCUGCAGCCCAAGCCUGGUUGCCCACUGAAGCUAAGCAGGGCUGAGCCUGGUCAGUACCUGGAUGGGAGACCUCCUGGGAAAACUAGGUUGCUGCUGGAA
rnacentral:rRNA from 1 species